GACGAACGCUGGCGGCGUGCUUAACACAUGCAAGUCGAACGGAAAGGCCUCUUUCGGGGGGUACUCGAGUGGCGAACGGGUGAGUAACACGUGAGUAACUUGCCCUUGACUUUGGGUUAACUUCAGGAAACUGGGACGAACACCGGACAGGAGCUCCUGCUGCAUGGUGGGGGCUGGAAAGUUUCGGCGGUUUGGGAUGGAUUCGCGGCGUAUCGGCUUGUCGGUGGGGUAAUGGGUUACCAAGGCCUUGACGGGUAGCCGGUCUGGGGAGGUGAGAGGCGGCCUUGAGUCUGAGGGACGGCAGAGGCUGGUACGGGUGGGAAAUGGGGGGAAUAUUGCACAAGGGAUGGAAGGCUGGUGCAGCAGCGCCGUGUACGGGAUGACGGCCUUCGGGUUGAAGAACGCUUGCGCUCGUAACGAAGCUUUGUGUGACGGUACUGGGUAAAGAAGCACCGGCUAACUACGUG
rnacentral:rRNA from 1 species